rnacentral:rRNA from 1 species
AACGAACGCUGGCGGCAGGCCUAACACAUGCAAGUCGAGCGAGGACUUCGGUCCUAGCGGCGGACGGGUGAGUAACGCGUGGGAACGUGCCCUUUGCUUCGGAAUACCCCUGGGAAACUGGGAGUAAUACCGGAUGAGCCCUUUGGGGGUAAGAUUUAUCGGCGAAGGAUCGGCCCGCGUUGGAUUAGGUAGUUGGUGGGGUAAUGGCCUACCAAGCCGUCGAUCCAUAGCUGGUUUGAGAGGAUGAUCAGCAACACUGGGACUAAGACACGGCCCAGACUCCUACGGGAGGGAGGAGAGGGGAAUCUUAGACAGUGGGGGAAGCCCUGAUCGAGCCAUGCCGGGUGAGCGAUGAAGGCCUUAGGGUUGUAAAGCUCUUUCAGCUGGGAAGAUAGUGACGGUACCAGCAGAAGAAGCCCCGGCUAACUACGUG